rnacentral:rRNA from 1 species
GACGAACGCUGGCGGCGUGCCUAAUACAUGCAAGUUGAGCGCUGAAGGUUGGUACUUGUACCAACUGGAUGAGCAGCGAACGGGUGAGUAACGCGUGGGGAAUCUGCCUUUGAGCGGGGGGCAACAUUUGGAAACGAAUGCUAAUACCGCAUAAAAACUUUAAACACAAGUUUUAAGUUUGAAAGAUGCAAUUGCAUCACUCAAAGAUGAUCCCGCGUUGUAUUAGCUAGUUGGUGAGGUAAAGGCUCACCAAGGCGAUGAUACAUAGCCGACCUGAGAGGGUGAUCGGCCACAUUGGGACUGAGACACGGCCCAAACUCCUACGGGAGGCAGCAGUAGGGAAUCUUCGGCAAUGGACGAAAGUCUGACCGAGCAACGCCGCGUGAGUGAAGAAGGUUUUCGGACCGUAAAACUCUGUUGGUAGAGAAGAACGUUGGUGAGAGUGGAAAGCUCAUCAAGUGACGGUAACUACCCAGAAAGGGACGGCUAACUACGUG